UGAUAUAUAGAUAUGGAUAAGAUUGUCUUUGAACAGACUUAAAGAGGAAAAAUAGAAAAUCAAACCAUAUCAAUAUUCAAUUCCGAAGAGCAUCCAGAACCUGAAUAACCAAAAGAAAAAAUAUUACAUAGGUAGAAGAAUCUCCUAAAUAAGAGUGGAAGAUAAGGUGAAUAAAGAGUAUGUGAUAAACCAACAUACAGAUGGCAAGUUUAUUUUAUCUCUUGUUUCUCAGUUCAUGUCUUUUUAUCACAAGCAGCAGAUCACAAAGUCAUCUGAUCCCAUCACCCAACAACCGUUCUGCUGCCUUAUUCAUCUUCGGUGAUUCACUGUUCGAUGNNNN
rnacentral:lncRNA from 1 species